rnacentral:rRNA from 1 species
GACGAACGCUGGCGGCGUGCUUAACACAUGCAAGUCGAACGGAAAGGCCCUGCUUUUGUGGAGUGCUCGAGUGGCGAACGGGUGAGUAACACGUGAGUAACCUGCCCUUGACUUUGGGAUAACUUCAGGAAACUGGGGCUAAUACCGGAUAGGAGCUCCUGCUGCAUGGUGGGGGUUGGAAAGUUUCGGCGGUUGGGGAUGGACUCGCGGCUUAUCAGCUUGUUGGUGGGGUAGUGGCUUACCAAGGCUUUGACGGGUAGCCGGCCUGAGAGGGUGACCGACCACAUUGGGACUGAGAUACGGCCCAGACUCCUACGGGAGGCAGCAGUGGGGAAUAUUGCACAAUGGGCGGAAGCCUGAUGCAGCAACGCCGCGUGCGGGAUGACGGCCUUCGGGUUGUAAACCGCUUUCGCCUGUGACGAAGCGUGAGUGACGGUAAUGGGUAAAGAAGCACCGGCUAACUACGUG